UGCCCGGGUGGUGAAAUUGGUAGACACAAGGGAUUUAAAAUCCCUCGCUCUUACGAGCGUGCCGGUUCAAGUCCGGCCCCGGGCACCAU
rnacentral:tRNA from 1 species